rnacentral:misc_RNA from 1 species
UACGGAAGGCCCGAGCGUUAAUCGGAAUCACCGGGCUUAAAGGGUGCGCAGGCGGAUUGGUAGGCAUCUCGUGAAAGCCCCCGGCUCAACCGGGGAACUGCGGGGUGAACCACCAGUCUUGAGGAAGGUAGGGGUCAGUGGAACCAUGGGUGGAGCGGUGAAAUGCGUAGAUAUCCAUGGGAACGCCAAUGGCGAAGGCAACUGACUGGGCCUUUCCUGACGCUCAGGCACGAAAGCGUGGGGAGCGAACGGG